GACGAACGCUGGCGGCGUGCUUAACACAUGCAAGUCGAGCGGUAAGGCCCUUUCGGGGGUACACGAGCGGCGAACGGGUGAGUAACACGUGGGUGACCUGCCCUCAGCUCUGGGAUAAGCCUGGGAAACCGGGUCUAAUACCGGAUAUGACUCCAUGACGCAUGUUGUGGGGUGGAAAGCCUUGUGCGGCUGAGGAUGGGCCCGCGGCCUAUCAGCUUGUUGGUGGGGUGANGGCCUACCAAGGCGACGACGGGUAGCCGGCCUGAGAGGGCGACCGGCCACACUGGGACUGAGACACGGCCCAGACUCCUACGGGAGGCAGCAGUGGGGAAUCUUGCGCGAUGGGCGAAAGCCUGACGCAGCGACGCCGCGUGA
rnacentral:rRNA from 1 species